AAGGAUUUAAGUUAAAUAAACUAUUAGUCUUCAAAGCUGAAAACAGGCAUAUCCCUAAGCCUUA
rnacentral:tRNA from 1 species